AGAGUUUGAUUCUGGCUCAGAACGAACGCUGGCGGCGUGGAUAAGACAUGCAAGUCGAACGGGAGAAUUGCUAGCUUGCUAAUAAUUCUCUAGUGGCGCACGGGUGAGUAACACGUGAGUAACCUGCCUCUUAGUGGGGGAUAGCCCUGGGAAACCGGGAUUAAUACCGCAUACGAUUGAAAGAUCAAAGCAGCAAUGCGCUAGGAGAUGGGCUCGCGGCCUAUUAGUUAGUUGGUGAGGUAACGGCUCACCAAGGCGAUGACGGGUAGCCGGUCUGAGAGGAUGUCCGGCCACACUGGAACUGAGACACGGUCCAGACACCUACGGGUGGCAGCAGUCGAGAAUCAUUCACAAUGGGGGCAACCCUGAUGGUGCGACGCCGCGUGGGGGAAUGAAGGUCUUCGGAUUGUAAACCCCUGUCAUGUGGGAGCAAAUUAAAAAGAUAGUACCACAAGAGGAAGAGACGGCUAACUCUGUGCCAGCAGCCGCGGUAAUACAGAGGUCUCAAGCGUUGUUCGGAAUCACUGGGCGUAAAGCGUGCGUAGGCUGUUUCGUAAGUCGUGUGUGAAAGGCAGGGGCUCAACCCCUGGAUUGCACAUGAUACUGCGAGACUAGAGUAAUGGAGGGGGAACCGGAAUUCUCGGUGUAGCAGUGAAAUGCGUAGAUAUCGAGAGGAACACUCGUGGCGAAGGCGGGUUCCUGGACAUUAACUGACGCUGAGGCACGAAGGCCAGGGGAGCGAAAGGGAUUAGAUACCCCUGUAGUCCUGGCAGUAAACGGUGCACGCUUGGUGUGCGGGGAAUCGACCCCCUGCGUGCCGGAGCUAACGCGUUAAGCGUGCCGCCUGGGGAGUACGGUCGCAAGAUUAAAACUCAAAGAAAUUGACGGGGACCCGCACAAGCGGUGGAGUAUGUGGCUUAAUUCGAUGCAACGCGAAGAACCUUACCUGGGCUUGACAUGUAAUGAACAACAUGUGAAAGCAUGCGACUCUUCGGAGGCGUUACACAGGUGCUGCAUGGCCGUCGUCAGCUCGUGUCGUGAGAUGUUUGGUUAAGUCCAGCAACGAGCGCAACCCCUGUUGCCAGUUACCAUCGAGUAAUGUCGGGGACUCUGGCGAGACUGCCCAGAUCAACUGGGAGGAAGGUGGGGACGACGUCAGGUCAGUAUGGCCCUUAUGCCCAGGGCUGCACACGUACUACAAUGCCCAGUACAGAGGGGGCCGAAGCCGCGAGGCGGAGGAAAUCCUGAAAACUGGGCCCAGUUCGGACUGUAGGCUGCAACCCGCCUACACGAAGCCGGAAUCGCUAGUAAUGGCGCAUCAGCUACGGCGCCGUGAAUACGUUCCCGGGUCUUGUACACACCGCCCUUCACAUCAUGGAAGCCGGUCGCACCCGAAGUAUCUGAAGCCAACCGCAAGGAGGCAGGGUCCUAAGGUGAGACUGGUAACUGGGAUGAAGUCGUAACAAGGUAGCCGUAGGGGAACCUGCGG
rnacentral:rRNA from 1 species